rnacentral:rRNA from 1 species
UACGGAGGAUGCGAGCGUUAUCCGGAUUUAUUGGGUUUAAAGGGUGCGUAGGCGGCCUGUUAAGUCAGCGGUGAAAGGUUGUCGCUCAACGAUGAAAAUGCCGUUGAAACUGGCGGGCUAGAGUACGGACGAGGUAUGCGGAAUGCGUGGUGUAGCGGUGAAAUGCAUAGAUAUCACGCAGAACUCCGAUAGCGAAGGCAGCAUACCAGGGCGCAACAGACGCUGAAGCACGAAAGCGUGGGUAUCAAACAGG